UACGGAGGGUGCGAGCGUUGUCCGGAAUCACUGGGCGUAAAGGGCGCGUAGGUGGCCUGUGGAAGUCCGUGGUGAAAGCCCGAGGCUCAACUUCGGGUCGGCCAUGGAUACUCCUGGGCUCGAGCACUGUAGAGGCAGGUGGAAUUCCGGGUGUAGCGGUGGAAUGCGUAGAGAUCCGGAAGAACACCGGUGGCGAAGGCGGCCUGCUGGGCAGUAGCUGACGCUGAGGCGCGACAGCGUGGGGAGCAAACAGG
rnacentral:rRNA from 1 species